UAGUGUAGGUUCACUGUCGAGACCUGCUUCAACGUUCCUUUGUACAAAAUACCACUAAAAGAGGAAUGGCUUGGUUUUCAGAACACAGCGGAUUCUGCCCCGACAUUCGCCAUCACUGCCUUCGCACUGGAAACAAACCACCAAACGCGUGUCCCCACGACGGUUUCUGCCCGCCCCACCAGAAGUGCUGUUGGGACACCUGCUUGGACCAUCAUACUUGCAAACUCGCAACGCCUAAUAAUCCAAUCCCCAUACAUAAGUAAUGGCUGAGCCCCCGAGGGUGCGCUCCGUAAUUUGUUGAGUUUAUUGUUGAGUUCCUUUUUGGUUUUUGCCGUGCUGUCUAUUGAAAACACGUGAGAGGUUUCAUCUAUGUAUUAUUUAUAGGCAAUAAAUAACAAUCUUA